AUGGGGAAAGGUGGUGGGAUGGACAUUUUUGUUAAAAAUGGAACAAGGUUCAAUACUGUUCAGUUAGGGAGAGAAUGUGAGUCCAUAACAAUAAAGAUUUGGACAGGCAAAUAUGAGCUAGCAGUAAUUAAUUACUAUAAUCCAUGCAACAAAUUAAGUGUAGAUAUAUUAAAUAUGGUGUUGGGGGAAGUGCAGGGGAAAGUAGUGUGGUGUGGGGAUUUGAAUGCGCAUAGCACUCUGUGGGGGAGUGAGAGAACUAAUGCAAAUGGCUCUAUAGUAGAAGAAUUUAUAGACGAUAAAGGAUUAGUAUGUAUGAAUGACGGGAGGGGAACAACGUAUGACUGUGUGCAAAAUAAGGAGAGUGUGAUUGAUUUAACGAUGACAUCAAAUGAAAUAGCAGACAUCACUGCUUGGGAAGUGAUAAAUAAAACAUUAAUGGGUAGUGACCACUAUCCAAUUGGUAUUAAGAUUGGAGUAGAGUUGCAACGAGAGGAAGACAUGAGAUUGUCAAGAUGGAAAAUUGAUAAAGCUAAUUGGGGACUUUAUCAAGAACUGAGUAGAAACAGAUUUGAGCAAUUACAUAAGGAGGAAUGGGCAGAUGUGGAUGAAAUGAAUAAGGAAGUAGUAACAGCUGUAAUAAAAUCAGCAAAUGAGUCGAUACCAAAAGCAUCAGGGUGCAGAAACAAAAGGAAUAUGCCGUGGUGGGAUGAAAAUUGCAAACAAGCAAUUAAAGCACGGAAUAGGGCAUUUAGGCUGUUAAAGAAACAUCAUUCAAUGGAGUCAUUAGUUCAGUAUAAAAGGUUGCAAGCAGUGGUUAGAAGGACAGUUAGAGCAGCUAAGCGUGCAUGCUGGAGGAAAUAUUGUAGUGAGAUAGGGCGGGAGGUAAAGUUGUCAGAUGUUUGGGGAAUGAUCAGGAAAAUGAGUGGAAUAAGAAGGAAUAUAACAAUCCCAAUACUAAUAAGUAACAGUAGAACAGCAAUUAGUGGGUUAGAAAAGGCGAUGCUAUUGGCUGAAACACUAAUUAAAGUUCAUAGUUCGGAAAAUCUAUCAGUAGAGGCAAAGCAGCAAAGGAGUAUUAUGCUAGCACAAAAUACAUGGAUUAACAAGAAAAAACUAACAACGGAAGAGAAUCUGUAUUCAGUAUGUAUGAGUUAA
rnacentral:lncRNA from 15 species